AUACCGACGGUAAUAACGUAGUGCACAAGAACUAAACUCUACACUACAGCGUCUACCGUAAUCAAGGCCUUUAUUUGCAUUGGUUAUCUGUACUUUUUACUACGUCUAUCAGGGGCACAAUGCUUACCCGAGACCAUAUAAUUCCGAUUCCAGUAGUGUCGUAGCAGACUUCGGUCUCUUCGCUGUUCGUUUCUUCACAACAGCGACAACAAAUGAGUUUAGGAUCACCGAAACAUCGACGACGUUUUGAUGUUGCACCGACGUACGAUAUCUCUGUCCGCUCUUCGUGUGCCCGCCCUGUGUUCGUCGUCUGCCAUCCAGUUUUCUCGGUUCCAAACGAACGAUUCAAGCCUAUGUUCAGUGGUGAACCAAGGCGUGAGGCUAGAGGUUGCGCGACAUCUUCUUAGUAACGGCUCUUAAGGAAUAAAAAGCUCUCGUGUAACGCGCACCGGGGGAUAACGCCCCUUCCAGGACACUUCCCGCACCGGAAAAUACAGUGAUUGCGGUGGAACUUUUCAAACUUAUUUUUCCAUAAGUAAAAGUACGCAACCGUCAUGACAAAGCAGCUGUUCAUCAUUUACGCAAACUAUCGCGUGUUUCACGACAUAUUCACUCUUGGACGGCGAGUAGAUUUGCCAUCGCCGACCGACAAUUGAUAAUUCAUGGUCUUACGUGGCGAGACAACUAUGAACAACGCCACAGUGAUCGUUUAGUGGGUCAAUUCCGCCCACACGAAAUUUCAGCAUUGCUGGCGUCCUCGUCCAGGUUGCCGCAGAUAUCGCUCACCUGAGUCGCCGGCGGCAGCGAGCUUUUUAUCACCAAGGUCCACUUGAAGAACGCCGUUUCCUUUUUAAGGUCUGAAACAAUAAAAGAACCGUUAACAUUCCCAAAGAACGCUGAUGUACAUCACGUGAUCGCACUAACACACUUGAAGCACGUAACACGACAGACUAAUGGCGCCGUAAGGGGGCGCACGGAUCUCGCUAUACUGUUGCGACGUGCAAAUAAACGUUUUUCGCCGUGUGUUCCUGUAAGGGAACAGCUGGUCGUAACGGGAAUGCACGAACGAGGUGUAAACAAUGGAAAGAGAGCCGCGAUUGCUCCAUCAACUGCGCUUACAGUGAAGUGAACAUCGUACAGAUCCCUUGAAGAGCGCGUUCAUGGUCAUGGCUAUAAACGGAGCUAGCUGAAUUGCAUAUUUAUUCAGCUUCUUGCAGUGGUUGAUCGAUGGAUUCAGCAGUACCUGACAACCGAAAACGAUUACGUCCUCCAAGAGGACAAGCUCGAAGUCUAGCUGAUCGGUUGGCGAAGGACAGUCUUCGAACGCAUGUCUCGUACAAAGAAUGGAAAACAAACUCUCUACAGGUCCAGAAGAACUCUGCUUCGUGUUGUCUGCCAUCAAACACUGUUAUGUAACACAGGAAUAAUGACACGAUUUGGAAAUGUCUA